UCAGGAUUCUAGCAGCCGUAUUUAGCACUAACGGAAUUUUAUUUAGUGCUUUAUCCGGGUAGUCGGAAAGUAGAGCAUUGCAGUAGUCUAACCUAGAAGUAACAAAAGCAUUGAUUCAUUUUUCUGCAUAAUUUAUGGACAGAAAGUUUCACCCAACAUCAGUGCCCGACCUCACUAAUGCUCUUGUUGGCUGAAUGGAAGCAAGUCACUGUAGCAAUGUUCCAGCAUCUAGUGGAAAGCCUUCCCAGAAGAGUGGAAGCUGCUAUAGCAGCAAGGGGGUGACCAACCAACUCCAUAUUAAUGCCCAUGUUUUUGGAAUGAGAUGAACAGGUGUCCACAUACUUUUAGUCAUGUAGUGUACAUAAUUGAUGCCUGGACCAUUCAGUUUCACUUUAAUCAGAGGUUUCAGAUUAUAUAUGACUUGGAUUGGGGAGGUGUGGUGGAAAAAUAACAUUUGCUUGAUAAGAUUUAAAAGGAAGCUUACAUGGACGGAAAGUGUGACCCAUUUUUCUAUUACAAACAGCACCCAUGGACUUACGUGAUUGUAGACAUGCCUGAACAUAGCUGAACAUAGGUAUAUAAUUCCAACAUAAAAUAUGAUUUAAAUUUCAACGAUUUCUGCCUACAUCGCCCAGUGAGCAGUGAGCUGAGCAAGUGGCGAUUGAAUAUGACGUUCCAUUUUGUUCUAUAAAGGCCCUCCCCUUUCUUCGUCACGUCCUCUUUCAAUUUGGUGUCUUCGCUGUAGAGGCACAUCUCCACAAGAUGAGAGCAAAGGUGAGUUGAUAAAUAUCUAACUCCAUAUUAGCGGGUUUUUGUUUGGCACAUUGUCACUAAGCAGUGGCUAGCUAACUAACGCUACAUAAACAUGUGUCUUAACGACAACGUGCCUAAAUAGUUGGCUUCCAAUUAAAAUAUGGAAACAUUGGCAGUAUCCAAUAUUACUUUAAAGGGGGAAACGCUUAAUUGGCGCAGGAGUUAAUUUUGAAUGUGAUAUUCAAUUUCAUACAUGGCGUAUUGGGGUUUUGCUAGCUUGACCACGUUGGCGAACUAGGUUUCAUGGCGCACAUGGUACUAGCAAUAUUACUUGUAAUGCAUUUUGUAGAUUUCAGGAAUGGCUUAUAUUAGCACGAUCAAUUAUACUGUUCACCAGUGCCAUGCCUACUGCGUGUUUGUAUCAUCUUGACUCUUAACAUUGUGACGCAUGGUCCGCAUUGCCAUGCCAGAUAUUCACGUGUCUUCCUGUUUAGAUCCGCAGCUUGUGCUUUAAACAUGAAUGAUUCCUUGUUUGGUUGUGAGUCUUUAAAUUGAUUUAAGUGUUAUUUUGUUUUUAGUGGAGGAAGAAGCGUAUGCGCAGGUAAGAAUCAUUUCCUUUAAGGCUUUUCAUCUGAAUGCUAAUGCUACUUUGUAGUUUCGUUCAGAUAUGCAUUCUACUCCAGUCUUCUGUUAACAUGGACAUGGCACAUUUGCAAUCUACUACAAUAGAUUUGACAACCAUGUAUAUGACUGUUUUUCAGGCUCAUACGAGUUCAAUUCAGGGUGUAUGUUGAAUGUUUGUUCAUUCGGCGUUGCAGGUAGUCUAGUGGUUAGAGAACUGGGCUAGUAACUGCUAGUUUGCUGGAUCGAAUCGCCACGGUGGAACACUUAAAUAUGUUCUACCCCAGAACAAGGCAGCUAACAGCCUACUGGGGAGCCGUGUGUCAUUGUAAAAAAUAAAUGAUAACUGACUUGCCUAUUUUUAAAUGAACAUUACAUUUAAAUGAGUACAUGACAAUGGUGGGAUUAAUGCUAGUCAUUGUUGGGACUUUUACAAGCUGAUAUGGUGUGUAAUGAUGCAGCCCUGGUCACUAAUUGACACUUUCUGGUCUUUGUAGGCUGAAGCGUAAAAGGCGAAAGAUGAGGCAGAGGUCCAAGUAGACUGGCCCAUUCCCCUACUGCUGUGAUUGUUUUUCUCCACCCACUCCAAGCCCUCUGAAGCCAGCGGUCCAUGAUUUGAAGAGCUGAACCAUGGUGGUCUGAAGCUGGCCUCGUUGGUGUGAAGGACAGAUUCUGCCUACCCAGCCCUCUACUCUGCCAAUGGCUCCUGGCCGUUGACUUCUGCUAGAAUCUCUCCUGUCAUUAAACUCUGGCCUUUUACCACCUGCACAGCUGUUGUAAAGACCAUAAUAAAUAUUUGGUUUACUAACUACAUUACAGUCUCUGUAAACAUUGAUUCAGGUUCAAAUCUUAUUUUAUUGAUCACACACAUUUAGUAGAUAUUGCGGGUGUGGUGAAAUUCUUAUCUUUCGGUCCACCCAACUUGCACUUAAUGCUUUUGAUAAUGUUGGAAACUAAUAUCUGGGGAACCAGUUGAUGCUUUUGAGUCCCCGUUGCAGUACAAUUUGGUUUACAUUUGUACAGCUGUAGACUUAACUGCCCUGGGGAUCAGUAAUAUAGUUGAGGUUCCGGUUUAACUAAGUUCCUGAACAGUGGUUUUCCAGCGUGCCAAGUUCUGAGGUCGGGUGAUCUGAUGCAGUACUCCCCUCUUCCUGGUGAAAUAGCCCUUACACAACCUGGAAGUGUGUGUUGGUUAAUUGUCCUGUUGAAAAACAGUCCCACUAAGCCAAAACUAGAUGGGAUCUUGCUGCAGAAUGCUGUGGUAGCCAUGCUGGUUAGGUGUGCCUUAUUCUAGAUAAAUCACUGUCACAGGCAAAGCACCAUCACACCAUGUUUCGUGGUGGGAACCACAUGCGGCGAUAAAUCUGUUCACCUCAUCUGGCAAAGGUUGUUGGAACCAAAAAUCUCAAGUGCACGCAUCAGACCAAAGGAUAGAUUUCCACCGGUCUAAUAUCCAUUGCUCAUGUUUCUUGGCCCAAGAAAGUCUCCUUAUUGGUGUCCUUUAGUAGUGGUUUCUUUGCAGCAAUUUGACCAUGAAGGCUUGAUUCUCGCAGUCUCCGAACAGUUGAUGUGACUAACAAACAGAAGCAUUUAUUUGGGUUGCAAUCUGAGGUGCAGUUAAGUCUAAUGAACUUAUUCUCUGCAGCGGAGGGAACUCUGGGUCUUCCUUUAAUGUGGCAGUCCACAUGAGCGCCAGUUUCAUCAUAGCGCUUCUGCAACUGCACUUGAACAAACGUUCAAAGUUCUUAUUUGGGAUUGACUGACCACGUUUUAAUGAUGGACUGUCAUAUUUGCUUAUUUCAGAUGUUCUUGCCAUAAUAUGGACUUAGCCCUAUUUGGACAAAUACCCUCUUCUGUAUACCACCCCUACCUUGUCACAACACAACUGGAUUAGCUCAAACACAUUAAGAAGGAAAGAAAUGACACAAAUGAACUUUUAACAAGGGACGCCUGUUAAUUGAAAUGCAUUCCAGGAUACUACCUCAAAGCUGGUUGAGAGAAUGCCAAAUGUGUGCAAAGUUGUCACCAAGGCAAAGAGUGGCUGUUUUGAAGAAUCUCAAAUAUAAAUCCUAUUUUGAUUUGACACUUUUUUGGUUACUACAUGAUUCCAUGUGUUAUUUCAUAGUUUUGAUGUCUUCACUAUCUUCACUACAAUGUAGAAAAUAGUCAAAUAAAGAAAAACCCUUACAUGAGU
ensembl:lncRNA